rnacentral:rRNA from 1 species
UACUACGGGAGGCAGCAGUAGGGAAUCUUCCGCAAUGGACGAAAGUCUGACGGAGCAACGCCGCGUGAGUGAUGAAGGUUUUCGGAUCGUAAAACUCUGUUGUUAGGGAAGAACAAGUACCGGAGUAACUGCCGGUACCUUGACGGUACCUAACCAGAAAGCCACGGCUAACUACGUGCCAGCAGCCGCGGUAAUACGUAGGUGGCAAGCGUUGUCCGGAAUUAUUGGGCGUAAAGCGCGCGCAGGUGGUCUCUUAAGUCUGAUGUGAAAGCCCCCGGCUCAACCGGGGAGGGUCAUUGGAAACUGGGAGACUUGAGUGCAGGAGAGAAGAGUGGAAUUCCACGUGUAGCGGUGAAAUGCGUAGAGAUGUGGAGGAACACCANUGGCGUAGGCGACUCUUUGGCCUGUAACUGACACUGAAGCGCGAAAGCGUGGGGAGCAAAAGGAUUAAAUACCCCUGGUAGUCCACGCCGUAAACCAUGAGUGCUAAAUGGUUAAAGGUUCCGCCCUUUUAGUGCUGCAG